UGGUUUAUUUCAUACUAAAUCUGUCACCCAUUGCUCAAAUUAGCUAAAACUCCUGCAUUUGAUCUGUGGUACAACCAGGCAGUGUGACCAAAAAAUUUAGGAUUUUUUCCCAAUGAAACAGUAUUUUCCAUUAACAUUAAAAUAAUAUUAAAGCUGCCCCACUGCCAUUUUAAGAAGCUCUUUUUAAUUUCACUAAAUCACUGUUAAUACAGCACAUGACUGUCAUCAUUCAAUCCAUUUUUACAAGUUACAAAUUACUUUAUGCAAAGGUAUAUGGUAGGAAAAUAAAUUCUAAAUCGUAAUGGCAUGUAAAAUCAUUUCCCUGUCGGUUUAGCAUUCUGCUGUGUAGUGCCAGAUGUAUGACAGUUAUUCAUCCAACAUAAGGGUUUCUGCAGGCCUCGUUCUUCUUAAGCAGAGGAAAGGACAAUGCUGGGGGUCAGAAAACCUGAAUGAUGGAGUUAAAGCAGGGCAUUGUGAGCGGUGACGCCGGGGCUACUGGACGAUGGAGGAGACAUGGACGGAGGCCUCCCAGUCUCUGGACGAGAGUCGAGUUUCCCACGCUUCAGGUUUCUUAGUCAGGGCUGCACAAAGAGGGGCCUGUGCAAGCGACGGUGGUGCUGGAACGCCAGGGCUGCAUUCACACAGCCAGUGUUUUCACUACCUGCCUUUACU